CGCGUAGGCGGCGCGGUAAGUCACUUGUGAAAUCUCUGAGCUUAACUCAGAACGGCCAAGUGAUACUGCAGUGCUAGAGUGUGGAAGGGGCAAUCGGAAUUCUUGGUGUAGCGGUGAAAUGCGUAGAUAUCAAGAGGAACACCUGAGGUGAAGACGGGUUGCUGGGCCAACACUGACGCUGAGGCGCGAAAGCCGAAGGGGGAGACGAAACG
rnacentral:rRNA from 1 species